rfam:Culex pipiens quinquefasciatus supercont3.1003 genomic scaffold, whole genome shotgun sequence.
GCAGGCGUGGCCGAAUGGUUACGCUGUUCGCUUUGAAUGCGGAUGAUCAUGGGUUCGAUUCCCAUCUGCUCCA